CUUUUCCUUAAAAAAAAAAAGAUAAUUGAGGAAAAAAAUCAAGAUUUGGGGGGAAUUACCUACAAAGAUGUAAGGUUGCUUGUCUGGAGAUGGAGCCACUACGGGCAGGGCCUGGGCGCCUGGAGUCGGGCAUGAAAGAAAAUAGCGCCUCAUCGCUCUUAUCUAAGCCCAGAGGUCGACUUCGCUUGAAAAGAUCGAGAAUGGAGGAGGGGAUCGGCACUCACUUGCAGACAUCAACAGUUUCCAGAAAAUUCGGUUCAAUUCCUUCACCACGGACCCACCAACCAAGGAGCUGGCAAAACCCGCUAACCAACCAGGAGAACACAGACCCGGUUUGUCUUUUGACAACCGAGUGGAACUGACGGGGCCGGCGCCUGCCCUGCGGGUCCCCUCCCUUGGCUGAGAAGAAAACCAAAUAAACCUUGAACAGCC
rnacentral:antisense_RNA from 1 species